rnacentral:rRNA from 2 species
CCAAGGAGUUUAGCGUGUGCGCGAGUCAUUGGGUGUCAAAACCUAAAGGCGUAAUGAAAGUGAAGGAAACUUUGUUUUCGAGGGAGGAUGGGUUAGGUUCCUCUCAUCAGGGCCGGCCUCGCACUCCCGGGGCGUCUCUAUCUCAUUGCGAGAGGAGGCGCACCUAGAGCGUACACGCUGAUACCCGAAAGAUGGUGAACUAUGCCUGGCCAGGACGAAGCCAGGGGAAACCCUGGUGGAGGUCCGCAGCGAUUCUGACGUGCAAAUCGAUCGUCGGAGCUGGGUUUAGGGGCGAAAGACCAAUCGAACCAUCUAGUAGCUGGUUCCCUCUGAAGUUUCCCUCAGGAUAGCUUGCGCUCGGAAACAACGAGUCUCAUCCGGUAGAGCGAAUGAUUAGAGGCCUUGGGGUCGAAACGACCUCAACCUAUUCUCAAACUCCAAAUAGAUGAGAACCCCGGCUUUCUUGAACUCUGUUUAUGAAGCCGGGGGCUCGGAUCAGAGUGCCAAGUGGGCCAAUUUU